GAUGAAGAACGUAGCGAAAUGCGAUAAGUAAUGUGAAUUGCAGAAUUCAGUGAAUCAUCGAAUCUUUGAACGCACAUUGCGCCCCCUGGUAUUCCGAAGGGCAUGCCUGUUCGAGCGUCAUUAUCACCCCUCAAGCCCUCGGCUUGGUGUUGGACGGUUUGGUGGAGGCCCCCUCGGGGGCUCCUGCCCCUCCCAAAGACAAUGACGGCGGCCUCGUUGGACCCCCGGUACACUGAGUUCUUCACGGGACACGUAUCGGACACAUGGGUUUACGGGACACGGUCUGCCUCCCCUCAGGGAGAAUCUUUCUAAGGUUGACCUCGGAUCAGGUAGGGAUACCCGCUGAACUUAAGCAUAUCAAUAAGCGGAGGA
rnacentral:misc_RNA from 1 species